GCCCGGGUGGCGAAAUUGGUAGACGCAGGGGACUUAAAAUCCCCAUCCGUAGGGAGUGCGGGUUCGAGUCCCGCCCCGGGCACCA
rnacentral:tRNA from 1 species